UAGGAGUAACCCAUUAUCUUCUGGGUGGCAUUGCCACAACAGGGGCAUUCUUCUUAGCAAGAACUAUUUCAGUAGGAUAAUGGCUAGGAGGAUUUGAAAGGCAUUAUGGCAUUAAGAUUUUCAAGGUUUAGCCAAGGUUUAGCUCAGGACCACACUACUCAUCGUAUUUGGUUGGAACCUGUUCUUUUCAUGACCCCUCUUAGUCUUUUUAAAAAUAAUAUAAAGUUAUCAUUAUUAUUAUUAUUAUAAUCAUAAUAAUGAUGAUAACUUUAUUUUUAUCCAAAGAGCUAAAUAUUUUAGUAAGGCCAUUAAAUACAUGAUAUAACAGCGCAUAGUAAGUAAGAUGCACUCAGCUGCUUAGGAUGAGCUUUGAUACAAAAAAGAAAUAUAGCUAUUAAUUCGAAUAUGAGACACCAACUGUUAAGGAAGCUUCCUCGGAUGAUUGCUUCUAUCGACCGUCCUUCUCUAUGUUGACUGGGGAAGCAUCUUAAUGUGCAACCUUACUUUGCUCAGCUAGUGCUACUCUUUCUUUUGGCCUGAUCUUGUAAAGAAAGGAAGGCUCAUGAAUGACCAAUCCCUGGAGGAACACUGAUUCUGCUUCUGUCUGGUCGUACUAGGUAUUGAAAAUAAGGUCUCACUACUGACUAUGGUAUUUACAUUUCAAUGGUUUCUAGUAUACUUAACAUAUACCUUCCAGCACUCAUAACCCAAUCCAAAAAAUUAUGUUAGGAAGAAUCAUGAUAUAUCGUCAACCAUCAACAACACUACUACACGUUAAAUUGAACCUGACAUAUACUACGAACUGAAUGAAUGAAGAUCACUCAGGAAACAACAGGAAACAUUAUAAUAAUACCUAUUAUUUAUAUAAGCAUGAUGAGACCUAAUUUUAGAACAUGUUUAUCUCACUUUCUUAAAGUUGAACAUAUAAUCAUCAUCCGACCUCCAAAGUUUGCAAUCCAAUUUGUAUUGUCUUCCUAUAAACCUAAUUGACUAGAACAGUUGAAUAAUCUUAUCUAAAUUUCCUCUAGAAGUCCAAUAUUUAUGUCUGGUAUCUCCAACUCGACAUCAUGCUCUGGUAUAGCAAAUAUGAACCUAAUCAAGCAGGGAAUCAUUUCAUUCCGCUAUUGAAACUAAUUUAUUACGAGAUGACCGUUGUGUUUGGGUGAUUAUUAUCAUAUAAAGUUUCUUUAUUUCUGCAUAUCCACGGGAGCCACGUGUCAUAUAGCUUGAAUAGAUUUUGUUUAUUUCUAAAUUCAGUUAUUACGAAAAGAAUUCAUCUCCCUGUUCGGUAAAAAUCUCUCAAUUUUACGUUUUUUUCAUUUCUAUCGUCUCUUGAAAGAUUAAGGGGCCAAAAUAAUGGUAUGCAAAGUAUAUGUCAGUGUCUGUGUCUGGGGCAUCCUUGCUUCUGUUCUUGCAUGAUAUUUGGUUGUAGAACAACAUGGAAAGAGGUAAGCUAGAAUAAAUUUAGUUCUUUUACAAAUCAAUCCAGAAAUAUAGGAAAGGAAAGUAGAAAUUAGUUAUUAGAAUAAUGCAACCAGAUAUUUCAUGUCAACUUGACUUAUAAUGCUACAGAAGAUGAAAAUAUUUUAUUAUAAUAUUAUGUGUUCAUUGAGCCAUCUCAAAAUUAGUAUAUUCAAGAUCGGCACAUAUAUCCAUACUGUGAACCGUUUCAAAGAGUGUGCUACUUACCCUUGCAUACUCUCCACUUUUCUAAAAUACUGAAAUGUCAAGUACUGCGUUUCUUUAAAUUAUUUAAAGUUAUAGUUAUAAGUAUUUUCAUUUAAUAGAACCUUUCCAUCAUGAGAGAUUUCUUUCAAUGAGUCUUCUACUGCUACAGAUGUUUAAAUCCCUUUCAUUGUAGUUCUCAAACAGAAUUAUUUGAUUCAGCUGCUCUCAUAAAUAAAGAUAAUCAUGCUCUUCUGUUACUUUUAGAUGACUUAAAUAUGCCAUUUCACUUAUUUUUCAUAUCACAAACGAAAUUUUAAUCUAUUUCUAAUUAUGCUUUGCCAUCAUGAAUAGACUUCAAACCCUUGGGCACCAACAAGUUCAGUGGCAUUGGCUGGAUAGCUUCAUAUUAAAAUUUUCUUACUCUCGCAUUUAAAAAUUUAGGAUUUAUUCCCACACUCUUUUAGAUACAACAUUGCAACUCAUCUAGUAUGGUAGUUCAAAGGCCUGACUAUUCGAUUGAAGGUAAUAAUUAGCAUAACCUAAUGUCAAUGGAAUUUGGUUCGUCGAUUUCAACUGACCUGAAUACAAUUAGGCCUGGUUUUACUUUUCGCAUAUACUGCAAAGUCUAGAUAAAAUAAUGAAGAAUAAAUAAGCCGCUACUGCCGACGUAGGUGCAUUAACCCACACUGAAUGACGUAGGGCUGCUGCUUAAUGGAUCUGCUACCCUCAUAUGCUCUCACUAUCGCCAUCAGGAGAUGUGUAGCCAUCAGUAUUCAUCUCAGGGUUCACGACUGGAUGGGAAACAAAAAAAUAUAUCCUUCCUAAUGCGGCAAUCAAGAAGUGCAUUCGCCUAUUGGACAUAAAAGAGUUUUUUACUAGCCCUCCGCAUUCUCAGGUCGAACUAGCUUCCAUCCGUGAGUCUUUUAAUCAACCAUCUGAAGAUAUCGCGGCCACCAACAUAUAGGAGAUGAUAAAUUUCGGCCACAUCAAUGUACAGGUGAUUUUCUUGUAUAUUGCAAAUAAUUUUUCUGGUAAGUUUUGAUUGUUCCACAGAUAAAUACGAAGAAAUUUUUGUUGGAGUUAAGAUUGAUGAUUAUACUGUGAGAAGAAAUACUGUAAUGGCCUGAGGGUAUUUGGGAAAUAUCUUGUAGGGUUCUCCCCAUAUUUAAAGGGUGAUAAUGGUAUCAAUGAAGCUCGAGUUAGUUUUAUGCCGUUUCUGCUCUAUCUUCUGUGAAAAGUAAACUUUUCUCUUUUCCAUCCCGCCCUUACCUUCCUCCUUUAAUUCUUAAUUUAUGGCAUGAUCUCCCUUAAAUCCUAGCAUCUGAAACUUAUUCGUCACGUUAAAACGAAAGUUGAAUAGAUAAGGUGCCGUCUGAGGAAGAUGGAAAGCGAGGUCCAGAAGGAUAAGGCUUCACCAAAAACACUUUCUUAGUCGUCUGCAACGAGGUAAAGUUCGAACAAAGUUUGGUGUGGCGGCAAGUUCAAUUAACCCCCAAAUGAGACUGACCAACCAUAGUCACAUUCGUUGGAGCAUAUUUCAAUUAAAGGCAUGCUCGAAAGUAGCUUGGCCAGAACAUCCGGAAAUUAUGCUCUGAACCGUUACCUGUCAUUAAAGUAGCUUGAUCAGAACAUCGAUCACUCGAAAUAUAUCUUCCUUUCAUCAACCCUAUCAAGACCAGAGCUUCUAGGAAUGAUUCAAACCAUUUCGAUGAUGUCUUGAUCAGUGCUCGUGGAAUGACUACCACAAACAAUUUACCUGUGCCGAUGGCCUCUAUUACAAGACAACACCGACUCAACACUCGCAUUCAGUUACAGAUAUAAACAUCUCUGUGGAAACUAAUUUGGAGUGGAGUCCUUGGGUAUUAUUUUAAAUUGGAAGCGGUAUGAAUCGUGUGGCACCAAAGGAUAAUGGAAACAGGGUCCGAAAACUUUCAUUGGUAGACUUGACUCUAGCAAUUUGUUGAUGAGUUCAGGAAGCCCACAAAGGAAACUAACCGACGCCAACUACGUUUCCCCUAGAAUAAGUCGUAGAAAACACUCGACAACAAACUAGCUCUGGAAACAAAAUUUCAGAACGAGAGGCGAUCCUGCAUUAACAUCUUGGUUUGCUGACAGAAUAACCAGAUUAAGGAUUAUUGUUUAGCUUUCCUUCGGCUUGGCCAUGCCCCUUUGUACGGCUGUAAAUGUAAUCGACAGGACGGUAAAAGCAUCUUCACAGUUCCACAUGCAUUUUCUCGUUAGUCCCGCAGUAGGAGACUCCCCACUCCGCUCCUUCAGAAGAAAUGGUUACCACCAGCAAAGCCGUGGCGGCUGCCGCACUCCUGUUGUUCGUUGCAGCUAUUGCCACUGCACCAAUGUUCUCUUGUUCUCUUGUCUGCCACUGCCAUUGCCAACAUCGAUUGCUUAUCCCCAUAAUAGUCAUCUAAAGACAAAAGUACUCUUGCCUGUCCAAUCUGUCUCAGAUGAAUGGGAAUGUAAAUAGGCCUUCUCAGCCGUAAAAUCAAGCUUUCUGUACUUAAUGCACAAUCUCCAUUCGUGACCUAUAAUGGACUCUUCUUCACCUUUUCAGUUUUUACAAAUGUGAACCUCAAUUUAUUAACACUCUAUUAUCUGAUUUUUAAUAGUCUAUUCUCAUGUAAUAAAUUAGUCUAGAUUUAUGUAGUUUUUGCAUAAUGUAGUCUAAAAUGUGUAUUAUUUAAAUAUGGAUUAGAUUUAUAUUUAUCGAGGAUUUAUAUCAUCUGUAUCUUCAAUGAUCAUUUAUUCUACAUUGUAAUUGAUCUGCCAAAAAAUUGAUGUUAAUUUAAGAACUCAAAUUUAACAUUUAUAAAAAUUAAAAAAAAUUAAAAUUUCGUUAAUUCUUGAGGUUUCAGGUCGAUUCUCAAGGAAAUCAGAAAGUUGAGGGAAUCAUUUCAAUGUAGAAAGUGUGAAAAACAAAUAGUUACCUGAUAGUAGUUUUUGUAAAUUAUGAACUAUGAAUGUAUCUAACUUUAAAAAUAAAAUACAUAAAAUAUAGAAAACGUCAUAUAUUUGAAUAUCUCUGAAAAAUAUCCCAUAAUUCUCCAUGUCAUUCACUGAACAACAAAAUUAGUGGAGGGUGAAAGUCAGAAUUUGGGAACAUAAAAAUAGAGCACAUGGUUGUUGUAAAAUCUAGAAGGCUAUACUAAACCCAUUCUAAAAUCACGAAAAAAUUAGAGAAGAUGGGAAACUAACUAUGCUAAGUUUUUCCAAAACAUGAGAUGACUUAUACUAGAGAGAUAGAGAAUGGAUGUGAGAGUGGUUUUCAGGCUAUGGAAGUCAACGGGCUCAUGGGUUGUUGUCAUAUCCACAUUGGAUAUAUGGAGAACUUAAUUAUAAAUAAUAAGAGAGCAUUUAAUAAGAUGGGUUGUUUAUUAUGAGAGAAUAAGAGGGCAUUUGAAAAAAGGAAGAAUUUCAUAUUAAAUAAUAUGAGACUUAUUUAUUUCUGGGGCUUUAUUUUCGGACCAUCCCAAUUGGAUGUUGCAGAACCGAUCACUUGAUGAAGAAGAUGGCUUCAAACUUAACUGGACUCAUCAGAGUAUGCUGAUUUUUUUCUUCUACAUUCAGAUUCUUAAAUGUGCAGACUCUGCCUCUUUCACCUCAAGUUGAGUUUGGGAAGGUAAGUCUUGGGACAGGCCAAUAAGCUCUGCAAAAGAAGGGGCUUGCCCCAUCUGUUCAAUCUGUCAAUAUUUCCUCGAUUUUGUUGAAUUGUUUAAAAAUUUUUGCGAUAGAACCCCCAGAAUUCACCACCAUAGCACUAUGGAUGAUAAGUAAUUGUGUCAGAAUUAACAUCAAUAAAUCGUAGCUGAACAUGUAGGCAGAGAAUCCCCGAAAAUCAAAGAUUGACGUCGUUGAAAAUCAUCACUCCAUGUCCAGAAAACAGGUGGGACUCUAUGAUUAUGCCUUGGAGCAAAUUUUUUUGUGCAUACUUCACUUGCAUCUUGUAUUUUCUAAAAUUUCUGGGGCUCCUCUAUUUUGCCUUCCAGCCUAGAGGAAGAAGAUGAUGAGGUCACAACACGGCCUUGUGACUGUCAGAAUUGCUUUGUUGAAUAGGCAAUCGACCUCUCCCCGUCAUGCAUUUGUGUCAAUAUGACGGGCAUUCGGCAUGCAAUUACGAUCAAAAUACUAACUAAAUUCUUCCGCUACACCUGCAUAAUAUUCAUAUUUCCUUAUUUGAAAUAUUCUAUUCAAAAGGUCCAUAAAAUCUUACUUUUAAUUAUAUAUUCAAUCUAUAAAUAACUGAUAAUUUAAGAUCAAAUAAUACUCGAUCCAAUUACCUUAAUAUUUUGCCGUGCAUGCAUUUGUUUUUAAUCAAGUAUUUGAUGGUUAUUUGAUUUAUUUUAUGGGUUCCCUCAAUAAGGGACACCAACGGCCUGCACCGACCGUGGAGCCAUGUCUAGUUAUGUGGGCGAAUCAGCCUUGAAAAUUCUAUACUAUGCAUUCGAAAUAAUCGUCAUUAUGCAUCUAUGACCUCACCUAACUCGACAUCUAGUUUUCCUCCCCCCUACAAUUUACAGACAUUAAUAUUGAUGUGCUGUCAUAUUUCUUUGAAGGAUGGGGGCGGCACUGUCGUCCAAAGGCUAUUUAUUUUGGCAAAAUCCAGAAUUGCCUGAUGUGAGGAUGGAUUAGAAACAGGUUACUCUCACAGAAGGUAGCAUAAAGUUUUUCUGUUUACAGAGUGAACAAGAUUUUUACUAGCCGGUACCUUACAAUUUCAGUUCAUGAUUUACUGGUUACUGGGCAGUAGCAACAAGCCAGCCAUGACCUCCACAGUUAUUGAUAUCAAUUCAAAUGAGAUGAAUUGGAUCUCGUUUAAAGAGUGAGAAGAGUCAUUGGAGCAGGCGGGAGAAUUGAGUUGAUGGCUCUGAGUUCGGCUGUCAUUAGCUAAAAUGGGGGUAUUUUAAUCUCUUUUUUAACCAUUGAUUUGAAAAAUAUGUUAUAUUAAAAUCAUAAAUAUUUUUUCUCAAUUUUAGGAUCAUAUAAUAUUGUAGGAAAUAAUAUUUGAAUGUUUCAUAUUGAAUAAUAGUGUGUAAUAUUUUUCUAUUUUCUCUUGACUUAUUUCAGUUUAAAAGAAAUUUAAUUGGUAUAAUUACUGGGCCUGAAUUUAAUUUGAAAUUUAUUUUAUUAUUGGGCCUAAUUUUAGUUGAAAUUGAUUAAUUUGGCCUAAAUUUAAGUUUAAAUGGUAUGAUAUUCCGGCUUGAAUUUAAGGUGAAUUUAUUUGAUUAUUGGGCCUUAUUUAAGACGUAUUGGAUCCAAGCUAACUGGGUCUCAUUAAAAAAAAUUAUUGAACAAUAACCUUCUUCUCGGGUCCAUAAUGAUCCGAAAAUUAAAGCGUCCGAAAUAAAUAAGUUUCGUAUAAUUUAAUAUUAAAUUCUCCCUCUUUUCAAAUGCUGUCUUAUUCUCGAAUAUUAAAUUACCCAUCUUAUUAAAUGCUCUCAUAUUCUUAUUAUUAAAUUUUCCCUCUUAUAUGGAGUGCGGAUAUAACAACUAUUCAUGCGCCGUUGACUGCCAUAUCCUGGAAACCAUUCUCGCGGCCUGUUCUCCAUCUUUCUACUAUAAGUCAUCUCAUGCUUCACAGGUUACGCGUAGAAGGAAAAAAAAUCAAUAUUAUUUGGAUGUAGCAGAACCGAUCACUUGAUGAAGAAGAUGGCUUCAAACUUAACUGGACUCAUCAGUGCAUGCUGAUUUGUUUCUUCUUCAUUUAGAUUCUUAUAUUUUCAGAUUCUUCCUCCCUCUUAUUCACAAGUUGAGUUUUGGAAACGAAAUAUUGGGCUGCCAAUAAGCUCAGCAAAGAGUGUGCGUGGUUAAAUAUUGGGAUAAUACAUGAAGGCGUCUCUCUUUUUGAACGGUGAUCUUGUCCCCGUUUUUAAUCACAGUAACGAGCAGAAAACCCUGUCUAAGAACUCAAAAACGUAUCUUUUGCCAUUAUACCUCUUUAAUAAUUUAUAUCAAACAAGAUCCUGACCUGAGUACUUGAGACUGUCAGCGGUUUGUCUUUUUGUGCGGGAAACAGGACGGUGAAUGACUAAAAUAACUGCACUUUAUCUUGAUUUAGGUUAAUAGUAGGCUGCAUGAACUGGUAGAUAAAGCUAAAGUGAACUCCUUGAAGAAAUCGACUGGGAGAAGAUGCUAAACACUGAGUUGCCUCGGAGUGAUGCGACAGCCUAUGGUUUAAAUUGUCAUUAAGCCAGCAAGUGCUUAAAGUGGUUGGGUAAAUUCUAUAACCCUCUCCAUCUUUCUCAUAUUCUUCCUAGUUUUCUUAUUUCGCAUAUUUAACAAUAAAAAGGCCUGGUUCUACCAUAUACAAAUGAGUUCGAUUCGAGUGUAUUGCAAGGGGCCAUGCUGCAAAAGCAUUACUAUGCUGGAAUGAAAGAUUAAUCAAUGCAACUUUUCGAAGAAGUUCACUUUAUUAUCCUUGUUUCAUCCAUGAGCAGAAGCCGUACUUUAAUUCAUAGCUCUAAACUUGUAGCCAUGUGCCAUUUGGAAGAAAGUGUGGCUUCUUGUACAGAGAUGCCAAAGCUUUGGAUGGUGCGUUAAUAGCUAUUCAGUACUAGAAGGUAGGGUACUACAAUCAUGAUUAAUCAAUCAUCAGAUCCACGAUCAUGGAAAAGGACUGCGAUCACAAUCACGAUUCGGGUCCUUGAUCGAUCAUUGAUCAAUCGAUGGAUCGAUGGCUACAGUGUAUUAAUGGUUACGAUUCACAUUGACGAGAGAGAUUAAAUCUCUCUCGCUCUUGUCUCUCACUCUUUCACUUCUGCCGCCUCUGUCCUCUUCUCGUCGGAGAGACCAACUUUACCACUGCCAGGUUCGCCACCACCCACUUCAUCACCGCCGCCUCUCCUUCUCCCUCUCCCCCUCUCUCUCCUCUCUCUCUCUCUCUCUCUCUCUCUCNNNNNNNNNNNNNNNNNNNNNNNNNNNNNNNNNNNNNNNNNNNNNNNNNNNNNNNNNNNNNNNNNNNNNNNNNNNNNNNNNNNNNNNNNNNNNNNNNNNNNNNNNNNNNNNNNNNNNNNNNNNNNNNNNNNNNNNNNNNNNNNNNNNNNNNNNNNNNNNNNNNNNNNNNNNNNNNNNNNNNNNNNNNNNNNNNNNNNNNNNNNNNNNNNNNNNNNNNNNNNNNNNNNNNNNNNNNNNNNNNNNNNNNNNNNNNNNNNNNNNNNNNNNNNNNNNNNNNNNNNNNNNNNNNNNNNNNNNNNNNNNNNNNNNNNNNNNNNNNNNNNNNNNNNNNNNNNNNNNNNNNNNNNNNNNNNNNNNNNNNNNNNNNNNNNNNNNNNNNNNNNNNNNNNNNNNNNNNNNNNNNNNNNNNNNNNNNNNNNNNNNNNNNNNNNNNNNNNNNNNNNNNNNNNNNNNNNNNNNNNNNNNNNNNNNNNNNNNNNNNNNNNNNNNNNNNNNNNNNNNNNNNNNNNNNNNNNNNNNNNNNNNNNNNNNNNNNNNNNNNNNNNNNNNNNNNNNNNNNNNNNNNNNNNNNNNNNNNNNNNNNNNNNNNNNNNNNNNNNNNNNNNNNNNNNNNNNNNNNNNNNNNNNNNNNNNNNNNNNNNNNNNNNNNNNNNNNNNNNNNNNNNNNNNNNNNNNNNNNNNNNNNNNNNNNNNNNNNNNNNNNNNNNNNNNNNNNNNNNNNNNNNNNNNNNNNNNNNNNNNNNNNNNNNNNNNNNNNNNNNNNNNNNNNAUAUAUAAUAUUUAGGCACUUGAUCACCUGACCAUAUAAUAUAAUAAUAUUAUAUGAUGACAACCAAUAUAAAUAUAAUAAUAUUAAAUGGCCGAUCAUGAUCGAUUGGAUUGUCGAUCACGACGAUCGAUGAUUAUGAUCAGCGAUUUCGGCUGUUCGGAUCAUUAUUUCAUAGGAUUUAUUUAUGGGGGCCUGUUAGUACACGAUCAGAGCACUAACUGGAAGCCUGUUCAGUAGACACCUCACUGCAAACAUAACAUGCGGAUGCAACACCUGGCAUCCCUGCGGAAGGGGAUAUUGGCGCCUCUGCAGUUGAACUCCUCGUACUUGAAGAAGUAGCCUUUGUAGUACCUGGGGCCCAUGUUGUACCACACACCACAUCGCCCACAAAAGGGUUGCCUGCAGCCCCUCGUCUGGUAAAUCAUGAGGGAGCUGGCUGACGCUGGGGCAAUGGCGACGGCUGUGAUGAGCAACAGCAGAACGGCAGCUGCCAUGGCGCCAGGGGUCUUGCUGGCCGUGGCCAUAUCCUUCACGGGGUCACGGCAGGACUCACGAAUCUGAGGUUUGGGGCAUGUCAAGGGGGGUUGCUCGUCGAGUGGUGAUGAGCUGCUGUCCUUCGGGGCCCAUUCCCUGCUCUUUAUAGAAGGUACAUGCAUCCUCGCAUGUGUCCACGGAUUUCGCCAUUAAGGGUAGACGUCAAUCUGCGCAUAUAAGUCAAUGGUGGAUUGUUACCUCCCACCCAGGCUCUUCGGGUUCAUCUUGUCUGGGGGAGUGGAUUUGCGCCGAUAGCACAAGGUUAAGUGUGAACGCGUGAACUGGGGAAUCAAUUGACGGAUCACUAGAUAAACAGUGUGUUGGAGAUAAGCUUGACGGUUACUGGGGAUUUCUGUAACGAUAGAGCGUUACAAUGUAACGCCUCCAUUGAAGCCUAUAAAUAGGCAUGUAACCCUUGAGUUGGGUGUGGAAUCAAGAGAGUUGCAUUUGAAUUGUUCCCCUUUUCUGAUUUCUCCGCCCAUCAGGGUGGCGGGCUCCUCCUGUCACCCUGCCCCUUUCUCUCUUUCCCCUUCUUGAUUCCUACACGGUGAACUCAUGGGAGGGCUCUCCCCUAUAAAUGGGGAGGGGAUUUGAGCGUGGAGAGAGGAAGUGUGGCCUUCCUCCUCCUCGAGCGUCACUUAUAACGUACUCUGAGUGAGAGAAUACAUUACAUAUUGGUGUAGAAAAGUUUUCCGCAGCGUGAAUAGGCUGGUUGGCGCAGUCAUGGCCGGUCUGGAUGAGAAUCGAGGAGAGUUUGAUGUUCACCCCGAGACAUUGUUCCCGGAUGUUGUGGGACAUGAGCGGCAAGUUGUUACCCAAGUCUAUCACUGUAUCAUUCACACCUACAAUGUACUAUGAUGCUAUUCGCAGUGUAGAAGAGUUGUAGUACCGUGGACUCACGUCUGACUCAGAAGAUGCCAUCCACACAUACUGGUAAAGUUGAGAUCUUUUGCUCCUUAGGGCCUUAGUGGGCACAAUUCCCAGAAGAUUGUUAUUGACGGGGAAGAAAUCCUAACAUUUGAUCAACGGGAAGCCAGAAAAUUCAAUGGAAGGAAUUUUAUUCACAGGCUGUCCUCAGAUUGGCCGCUAUUGGGCUCGACAUUGGUUUUUUCUGAUUGCAGAUUUUCGCUUAAGCAGCAGUGACUAUGAAUUCUCUUUUGAAAGUCUAAGCCAUCCGAUGAAAUGAAUUGUAAAUAUAAGUUAAGUGUAACAAUAAAUCUCUACUUACUCAUCCAGCAUGGCCUUUGCUGGUGAAAUGUCCCAGAAAGAUGAAAAAUGGAAGUUAGCAUUAAAGUUAGUUCUCUCAGGAUUCAAUCCAAAACUACAGGUAGUGAAAUAAGAAAUAAAGAGAUCAGCAUAAUGCAGUUAUUUAUGUAACCAAGGUCCUGCGGUAUCUUGUGUCAUAAAGCUUUAGAAGUUGACUUGCCUGAAAAUAGUAUGUUUCCUUUGCUUACUCAUCUCAAUUUUGUUUCAAAUAUACAUAAAAUGCAUAUUUUUAACUUAUGCUGAAUAAAAUAAACCAAAACUUUCUUUUAAAAGUGAAACAUUAGACAGUUAACUACUUCAUCUUCUUUGUUAACAUUAACCUCUAAAAUGUGAAAUUGUAAGAUAAAUUUGCUAAAGACAUUCAUUUGCUCCAAAGGACUUGUGUCUUCAGACAUGCACAAGCUAUAUAAUUUACUUUUCAAAAUAUUUUUUUACUAGAUACUUCAUGAUCCUUUUGUUAUGGCAUGGAUCUUCAAAAACAAUCUCAUUCUUAUUGCUUGAAUGGAGGGAACAGUUUUGGAUGUCAAAUGUUGAUGUCCUUAGUUUUGACAAUAACAUAUGACAAUUUAUUAGAAAAUUAUUUAUUCUGAGUUUUAAUCAAAAAAAUAUGAUACCAUGUCUUUAUUUAUAUCUUCUAGCUAUAUAUUCAAAUAUAUGAUCAUGUUAAUCACAUAUUGAUUUCUUCAUCCAAUUCUUUUGGUUUUUGCUUUAACAUUUAAAUCAAAGGUUUCAGCCUUGGGAUUAAGUUAUAUUUCUGUCAUAAGAAUAGUAAAAAAUCAGCAGUCACCAAUUGAAGAAAGAUGUACAAACUGCAUGUUCUAUGUGACAGAUUAAGUAUAUGUCACAUAGGGUCAUAAGACAAGUGUUCAUACAUAACGUAUCACAUGAUCUAUGCAUCAACACAUGGGAAAAGAAUAUUCUAUCCUCAUUAUACUUCUAAUUAACUAAUCGUAAUGGUCCUGUAUUUAUAUGUUCUAUGUAAUUUAAAUAUAAUGUCAGACAUGUUUUCUAAGUUAUUAUGAGCAUCUAAUCAAUAAGAGAGACAAAAUAUAUCAAAGAUUUUAAUUUCAAAAGUUUAUCUUGAUGGUGACGUGUUAAAUAAGUGUGGAAAAAAAGGUCAAAUCAAAUCAAAUCAUUAGAAUUCAACAUGAAUUCCAACUUUCCUAUGAUCAAGUUAAAAGAUUAUAAUUUAAUUGUAACCUUAAAAGAUCAUAAUAAAUGAGAAAGUGAAAAAAUAGAAACUGGAUAUUAUAAUAAAUGAUAAGUAUAUAAAAAGUUAAAUUGAAUAUUGAAGAUUCAAAAAAAAUUUGAAAGUCAGUGCAUGAUGAAAAUAAACGUAUAUGAGAGAUAUAUAUGCCAAAAAAUAGGUAAUUCACUCAAAGACAUAGUACUAUCUAUCAAGACCUUCAUGUUGCAGCUUCAUUGACAAAAAAAUUGCAACAUCCUUAUCUGCUUGAUCUAGCAAUAAAAUAUUUAUGCAAAUAGGAUUAAAAUUUUCAGCUAAGUCUUGAAGUAGUAGAGUAUUAAUGAAAGAAUGAUUUUGACGAAGCCAAACAAUGAUUGUAGCCUCAUUUAGGUCAAGAGGAACUGAUGGAGAUGGACUGAUAUGUUGAAAGCUCUCUAUGGAGAGAAACAAAAGAGCUUUGGACAACUGAUCUUGUUCACUUUAGUUUGUAUUAUUAGGAGGAAUAAUUAGAUUCAUGGAUACUUGUCUUGAUUACAAGAAGUGACUAGGUGUAAGCUGAACAAUUUAAAACAUUAUACCCUUAGGAAAUAAAUGCUGAAAGGUAUUACUAUUAGAAAUAGCCCUUCAUGUGUAUGUUAAUAUGUAUAACUAAUCUAUUUACACAUAUAUCACUUGUGUUAAUAGAUAAAUCAUUCGUUUUAAUUGAAAUAAUUGAUAUCAAAACUAAAUUUAAAUGACAUAAUAAAAUAUUGAGCAUAUUUAAAGAUUAGUGAAUUAUUUAAUCAAUAGAAUCAUAUACCAUAUGUUUGAUGAAAUAAACUGUGCAUUUCGACGAAAUAGAUGCAUGAUGUGACCCUAAGUCAUUAUUAAAAUCAUCAUUAAAUUUUAAUAAUUUAUAAAACUAGAUUCACCAAAAAAAUUAUAUUAAAUAGAUAUAGUGGUGAGCUAGGUCAUCUCUUGAGGGAAAGUUUUUAAAACUCUUUUUAUUCUCUAAUUUAAGGGCUUAUGAAAUUGAUUUGAAGAUCUAAAUUGAUAUUCAAUGUAAUAAAAUAAAUAAAAUGUUAAAUAAAUAUAGAUACGAAUUUGAAACUUAAAGAAAAUAGAAAAAUAAAUGAAAUAUGUUUUAGAAUGAUUAAAAUGGAAAAGAAUCAAGUAAAUAAAUGAUUAAGGCUAAGAAAAUAAAUUUAUUUCACAAAUCAAACAAGAAAAUAAUAAAAAAUAUAUUAAAAAUCAAACUUAUAACCUUUAGAAUACAUGGCUUGAAGUUGACCUCUAGAUAGUGCUUGUCAAUCUUGCAUCCAGCUCAACAGAAUAAAUUAAAGAUUAGAAGGGUAGAAGAGAAUGAUCAAAAAUCAAUAGUGUAUUCCUUAGAAUUCUAUUUUCACAUAAAAAAAGAAUAAUCUUUUUUCUCAAGAACAACUCGAAAAAGGAUCCAUUUCUCUCUUUUCUUCUUCAUUUUUGUUCCCUAGAUCCGUAAAUAGUAUUUUUUGUUUAAACUUCAUAUUUUUUAUUGUAUUUUUUCAAUUUUUCUCCAACUUUUAUAAUAUUUUCCCUUUUUCUCAUUCGGCAAUAAUUGAUAUUAUCUAUUUUAGGAUACUGCGAUCAUGAUCGAUCAAUCGUUGGAUCGACGAUCAUGAUUAAUUGAUCGACAAUCAUGAUCAUAGAAAAUGACCACAAUCACGAGCAAGAUCUGGGUCUUUCAUUGAUUAUUGAUCGAUCAGUGGAUCAAUGGCUACAAUUUACUAUUUGUUGGAUGGUGACUUUUCAUCAUCCAACGGUUAUGAUUCACAUCAUGAGAGAGAGAUUAAAUCUCUCUCUCUCUCUCUCUCUCUCUCUCUCUCUCUCUCUCUCUCUCUCUCUCUCUCUCUCUCUCUCUACUACUACUACUACUACUACUACUNNNNNNNNNNNNNNNNNNNNNNNNNNNNNNNNNNNNNNNNNNNNNNNNNNNNNNNNNNNNNNNNNNNNNNNNNNNNNNNNNNNNNNNNNNNNNNNNNNNNNNNNNNNNNNNNNNNNNNNNNNNNNNNNNNNNNNNNNNNNNNNNNNNNNNNNNNNNNNNNNNNNNNNNNNNNNNNNNNNNNNNNNNNNNNNNNNNNNNNNNNNNNNNNNNNNNNNNNNNNNNNNNNUCCUCACCUCUCUCUCUCUCUCUCUUGUCCCUCCUCUCUCUCCACCUCUCUCUCUCUCUCCCCUAUCUCUCUAUCUCUCUCCCUCUCUCUCAUUAACAAAGUUCAUAAAUAUUAGCUGAUCAUGAUCGUUGCUUCUAGUGCUAAAGAUGUGGCUGCUUCUAGUGCGUUAGAUUUGAUAGUGGUUGCCGUUAGAUCUAACACUACUUUUUAUGUGAUGGUGGGUGGUGACAUGGCAUAUUCCUGUGCGUCAUAUAUAAUUGUCACCACUAUUGGAUUGAUAGUUCCUUUUUGUACAAUGAUGGGUGGUGACAUGGCGGCUUCUAGAUCAUCAGAUCUAGCCACUAUUGUGGCUCUACCAUUGGAUCUGAAAUAGUUAGAAGAUGUGGUUUAAUCUCAUAUCAGAAGUUUAGUGUAUAUAGAGUAAUAUAUAUUAACCGAUGCCCUUGACUCAUCGCAAGUGCCUCUAGAAGGGAUGAUCUGGAUUGAGACCCAGCCCCUAGUAGGCCAGAAAGGUGAUCUAUUUGGCUCAAACCCAUGAUCUAGAUCUGUGACUCGAUUUACACAAGUCACAAGGUAGUGCACCCUUUGGGCCUACUCCUAGAUAUAGUGUGGCUUCCAGCCCAUGUUGGGCUUGUUAAGUGGUGUGCCUCUAGCCUGCUAAUAGUGAAACCAUUUUUUUUAUUAUUUUUAUUUAUUUAUUUUAAUACCUAAAAAUUUCAGAAAAAUUAUAUAAAAUAUAUUUAAUUAAUCAUAAAAUUUAGCAUAAUAGAAUUUUAUUUAAAAAUGAUAAUUAAGCUUCAGCAUACCUCAUCCUCAUGCUCACUAAUGAUGGUUCUUGUAGCCAACAUUGUUCUAUGAUGCUCAACCAAUUCUUCAUAAAUAGUUUGAAUUUUUUUACAUUUAGAUAAUCCAUUUUUAGGAGAUUGAUAACUCUUUUGACCUCUCUCAUUCAUAUAUUUAGUUUUGUCGGUUUUCAUGAAAUGACGUAGAAAUUUCACAAUUUUUUGUUGUAUUUUUGCCGAAGUUAUAACAUUUCUUCAAAAUAUAAAUAGCCAAUAUUAGGUUAUAUGCUUCAAAACGAAUGAGAAAAAGAUUAAUCUAAGAGCAUCAUCAAAAAAAAUUUAGAUUUUGAUGAUAGAUCAAAUUUUGACAAAUUCAUGAAUGUGCUUGGAGGUAUCUUCAUUAGCGUUUCUAGAUGAAGAUGUGAGCAUAUGAAUAGUUCUUAAUUUGAUUUCAUAUUGGACAACUUGAUUUGGGGGAUGUGGUUACAAGAUGAAGGUUGGUAUUUAUUUGGAAUAAAUAAUCCUUCAUCUUUGUAUGGUAUUCCACUCCACCUUCAUAAUCCAUUUCCUCUAUUGUGUUUUGAGCCCUAAUAUGAAGAAUUAUCUCAACUUCAGGAAUUAGUUAUAAUAGAAUUGGGUUGAGAGAUGAGCUACCAAGCACACACUAGGGAUAAAAUGAGAAGAGAUUUUUCAGUAAAAAUCCAAGUGAGAUGAGAAUAAAUUCUAGAACUAGAGAUGCAAACUAACUUUAAUAUAAUUGUAUUUUGCUUUAAUUUCAAUAACGUUUGGAUUGAGAAAUAAUAGAUAUACAAGAUAAUGCACAAGUAUAUAUCUUGAGCGAAAAUUUCAGUUAAAUAACCUUGUAGCCUUACAAAAAAGAUUAAAUUGAGCAAGAUGACUUCAACUAAAAGUAAGCAUGAGAAAGAUAAUAUUCAUAGAAACAAAAUGAGUUUAUCUAUAGAAAGUUCAAAUUAGAACCUUAAUUGUGGUAUAAUUGUGUUUCAGAAACAAAAAUGGAAGAACAUAUACUAUGUAGAAGAAAAAUUAAAACUAAAUGAGAGAAUCUCAAAUUUCAGAAAAUGAGUCUCCACCAACUCUAGUAAAUGGAGAAUGCUAAGGAGUGAUGGCAGCACGAGGCAAUUCAGAGGUGUUGCCGAAGAGGAGUGAUUUGGGGCAAGCCCAUGAGGAUGGAAAGUUUAAAUUUUCACUGGCUCCUAACCAUAAUCUCUUUUCUGUCUUGUAUCUAAAUAAGAUAAAUAAUUAAGCCCAACAACUGCACAGAACGAAAAUAUAAUUAUGCAUGCAAAUUACCAGGAAUGCACAAGAAUUUAGAACUUUCGGCUCCCCAACCAACAGGGCCUCGGGCUCCCCACCAUCAGAAGAUGCUCCAGCCAGUUUUCUUCACUCCAUUAAAGAUUUAAAGCUUGUCUAUGUUACGCUCACCAGCAUCGUCCCCCUUCAGCUUCAUCCUUGCACUAAGUUUGGAGCCACAAGGCCCCACUUGAGCCUUUUGUCUUGCAUCAAGGUGCCCACUUUGGUUCCUCUCACCUGUGUCACAUUUGUUGACUCGACGACAUGUUCAUUAUGACCAUAUGAACCUAGCAGAUCACCCCUGAUGCAGGAUGUGAUGAUGAAAAGACUAUAUUACCCAAAAUAGGUGACUUAGACUAGACUCUACUAAAGGAUCUAAGAACUAAAGAAGGUCAACUAGGGUAAGAUUGGGUGAAAUCUUGGAAGAUUGAAAUCAACGGAAUGUCACAAUUAAAAAAUCGCUAAUGAUUAGUGUGCUCCAACUCAAUAAAUCAAUUAGCCACAAAUCAAAAGGUUAUCACUUCUCACUAACCACCAAUCACUAAAAUGAAUAAACUUAUCUAUGGUUCCCAUAAUGACAAUUUUGCACAACAAAAUACUGAGUGAACAAGAUACUCUAUUAUGGAAAUGAAAGGUUUAGAGAUAACCUUGUCACCAGGUUAAGUGACUGAUUGGAAAAGGUGUCAGUUAAAGCUGGACCCCACUUGUCAACCGUUGACCUAUAUGUGUUGACUGUUGACUUGCAUGAACUGGUUCCAGUUGGCCAGGUGGGGGUGGCUGGGCUGGAUUAAAGCAGACCGGUCUGGCCCAGUGGUUCCGAAUAACACAAUUUAGGGCUUUUUUUAUACCCUAAAUGUUCGUGGGCACGGACAGAAUGUGUGGGCUGAGGGAGGCGAGGUGGCAGCAGUGGCAGACGGGGCAGGAGUCGGGACGAUGGUGGAGGCAGCAGCAGCAAAUGGUGACGGUGGGUUAUGCUAGAAGAGGAAGGAUGGAAGGUGCGGAUGGCGGCAAUGUGAUGGACUCCUAGCAGCAGCCCACCUACCACAGAAGAAGCGGAGUAAGAGGAAACAGAGGUCCCAGAGAAAUAAAAGAGGGAAAUGGGCCGACAGAGACAAGCCCAAAGAUGGAAAAAGAAGCGGUGAACAUAAGCAACCAUUGAACGCGGAGGACAACGACCAUAACAACCACCUGCUGACGGGAGAAGACUCGGGCAGCAAUCUGAAUACAAUAAAUAGGCGAAGCACCAAGGGGCAGAGGGAGAGGGAGAUUAGCCAUCUCGAAUCGGCUGCCUUGUUCUCUUGUGUUCUUCUCUUCCUCUUUCCUCUUUCUCUCGUUCCCCGCCUUCCCCCUCAGUUCCCUUUCUCAUAAUAUCCUUCAGUCCUGUGGUGCAUCUGGAACACCGAUCUGUCAUCCUCGUUUGAAUCCAAGAAGUAUUUCCUGUUCAAAUCUCAAUCUUGCUACAGCAGCGAUCGCCACAGUCGCGGAUCCUAUCACAAUGGCAGCGGCAGACGGCGACGACGGAUGGCGGCGGACAGCGAUGACGGACCGCGGUGAGCAGCGACGACGGACGACGGAUGUCGGCGGAAACCGGCGGCAGAUGGUGGCGGACGAGCAGCGGAUGCAAGCGGUGGCGGCGGUAGUUGACGACGGUGGUGAUGGAUAGUUGACCCUCACUGCCUCUCCUUGCGGAGCGAUUUGACUCUCACGGCCUUCUCUGUCUAUUCUUUGGGCUAUCACGAGGUUAUUUAUAACCUCCAAGAAAAUAGAAAAGAAAAGGAGUUCAUGGAAGACGGGGUUACUCUCCCAUGAAGAGUAAUCGCGUGAAGGCGGGAGGAUGGAGAGGACGGCGAGGACGCCGCCGGCGAAGGGGCAGUGGCGGCCGCCGCUCCUCUCGUCAUACGCUGGCCUCAUGACCCCAAUUUGGCCAUCGCCUUUCUCGGAAUGUCCUCGCUGACUCCCGCCGAUUUCCGGACCUCGAGGCUGUGCUGGAGAUCACGGCGGAAGAAGGGUUGAGGCCCUCUGCCGAAGUGCUUGGUGCCAUCGUCGCUGGUUAUUCUGACACCAGUGAGGAAUACCCUGCUGUUCUAGUCCACGGCGAAGGACCCUUCCCGAGACCGACGGCUCAACCGCCUUCUCCACGGGCUUGCGCGGCGCCGCCGCUACGAGACUGCCCGUAACCUGUGCGACGAAAUGCUCCAAGGAUAUGGCGUAGCAGAUAACUUCUCCAAUGGUAUAGUUGUGAAGGGCCUGUGAGAUCAAGGGAAGGCGGGUGAAACCCUGGAAGAAAUUAAUGGACGACUGCUGCAGGAUCGGAGAUGCCUGCAAAGUGUGGUUUCGUAUGGAAACGAUAAACGCACAGUAUCCUCAUGAGCAAUGCAUGCAAUGCCGGUGAGCUUGAAAGAACUGCUGUUCUCUUCAGGAAUAUGCUGCUCGGCAGGCGCGCCAUCCUAGUGACGUCAUCUUUCAUUACCUUCUCAACGGGCUUAAUCAUGCCGUUACGCCUUUGUGCGGUGGUUGAUGAUGGGCUUGACGGGCAUGAGGGCCCCUUGCUGUUCGAGAUGCUCAGAAAAUAGUUGCAUAUGAUUGGGAUCCCUGGUCAGCAGCUUAUAAUGCCAUCAUCUUAUUUCUCUGCCGGCAUCGGAUGCUCAAGUUGUGGGUUAGUAGGAAGGAAUUGUGUUACUGAGACAUUAAAAUAAAAAUAGCAUGAACCAUUGAAGAUAUUGUUCCUGAGGAGUUAUUGAUGAAAGGACGAUGCGAUUUGGCUUUGGCAAUUCUUGUUGAAGUAAGAUCUCUUGAAUCUCGCUCAAUAGCUUUUUCGGUGGCUGCCAUCAACACAGAGGAAAGUGCCAUCAACCAUCUGUAACAGCUGCCAAUAUUUCCUCAAUUUUCCUGAAUUGUUUUAAACUUUUUGUGAUAGAACACCAGCAUUCACCACCAUAGCACUAUGAAUGAUAUCUUUCCUUUCAUGAUAAGCAAAUGUGUUAGAAUUCACAUCAGUAAAUAGUAGCUGAACAUGUAGACAGGGAAUCCCAUCAUUUUAAUGUCUUUCCUAUCAUCUAUUUUGAAGCCUAAAACCAAGAAAGAGUGUCCUUUUGAACUUUCUUCUUUUCCAGCAUAUCAAAGAUUGAUGUCUUUGAAAAUCAUCACUCCAGACCCAGAAAGGAGGUAGGACUCUAGGAUUAUGCCUUGGGGCAAAUAUUUCUAUACAUAAUUCACUUACAUCUUAUAUUUUUUAAAAUGUCCGGGGCUUCUCUAUUUUGUCUUUCAACCUAGAGCAAGAAGAUUAUGAGGUCUCACCAUGGCCUUAUGACUUCUGAGAAUUGCUUGGUUGAAUAGGCAGUCGAGCUCUUUCUGUCAUGCAUUUGCAUCCCUGUGAAGGGCAUUCAGCAUGCAAUUAUGAUCAAAAUACUAACUAAAUUCAUCCACUACACUUGCAAAAUGUUCAUAUUUCCUCAUUUGUAAUAUUUUGUUCAUAAUGUCAAUGAAAGAUUACUUUUAAUUAUUUAUUUAAUCUAUAAAUAACUGAUGAUUUAAGAUUGAAGAAUACGUGAUCCAAUGACUUUGAUAUGUUGCCGUGCAUGUAUUUGUUAUUAACCAAGUAUUUCAUGGUUAUAUAAUUAUGCUGAUUUAUUUUCUGGGUUGCCUCCAAAAGGGACAUCAUUGGCCUACACUGAACCAUCUCUAGUUAUGUGGCGAAUCAGCACUGAAAAUUCUAUGCUAUGUACUAGAAAUAAUCUUCAUGAUGCAUGUAUGAUCUAAGCUAACUCCACAUCUAGUCUUCUUGCAAUCUACAAUCUGCAGAUAUAAAUAUUGAUGUGUUGUCAUAUUGUGUUGAGGAAUGGGCGUUUCAUUCAUCGGCAUGGCCAUCCGAAGAGAAUUUGGCCGUGCCUGAUGUGAGGAAGGAUUAGAACCGGGGUACUCACAGAAGAAAACAUCCUUAAAGAUUUUAUCAUCACAGAAUACAGCCUUUUAUUAGCCAGUACAUUUCAAUUUCAGUUCAUAAUAUACUGGUCACUGGGCAGUGGCACCAACUCAGCCAUGACCUCCACAGUUAUUGUUAUGGAUUAAAAUGAGUUGAAUUGGAUCUCUUUGUAAUGAUCCAGAAGAGUCAUUUGAGCAUGCGGGAGAAUUUAGUUGAUGGCUCUGAGUUCGGCAGCAUUAGCUAAGAUGGGGUAUUUUAGUCCUUUGUUUAAGCAUUGAUUUGAAUAAUAUGUUAAUAUUAAAAUCACAAUAUCUCUGCUUAAUUUGAGGAUGAUAUACUAAUUUAGGAAAAAAAUAUUUGAAUGUUUCAUAUUGCAUAAUCGUGUGGAAUAUUUUUUUAUUUUGUCUUGAUUUAUUUCAGUUUAAAAGAAAUAUAAUUGAUGUAAUUAUUGGGGCUUAAUUUAAUUUCAAAAUUAUGUUAUUAUUUGGCCUGAUUUUAGUUGAAAUUGAUUUUAUUAUUGGGCUGAAUAUAAGUUUAAAUGGAUUUGAUUUUCGGGCCUGAAUUUAAGCUGAGUUUACAUUGGGCCUUAUUUUAGACGUAUUGGAUCCAAGCUAAAUGGGUCUCAUUGAAACCAUUACUGGACAAAAACCUAUGUCUCGGGUCCAUAAUCAUCCGAAAAUUAAAGCGCCCAAAAUAAAUGCCUCGUAUUAUUUAAUAUUAAAUUCUCUUUCUUUUCAAAUACUCUCUUAUUCUCUAAUAUUAAAUUACCCAUCUUAUUAAAUUCUCCCUGUUAUAUCCAGUGAGGAUAUGACAACCGCCUAUGCGCCAGUUGACUGCCAUACCCUAAAAACCACUCUCACAUCCAUUCUCCAUCUUUCUACUAUAAGUAAUCUCAUGUUUCACGGGUUAAGCGAAGGGGGAAAAAAAGGAAUAUCAAAUGGAUGUUGCAGAACAGAUCACUUGAUGAAGGAGAUGGCUUCAAACUUAAAUAGACUCAUUAGAGUAUGCUGAUUUGUUUCUUCUUCAUGCAUAUUCUUAAAUUUGCAGACUCUGCGUCCCUCUUCAACAAGUUCAUUUUUGGAAAGUAAAUAUUGGAACUGGCCGAUAAGCCCUGCAAAAGCAGGGGUCGGCAACUGUCUUUUCGAACGAUGAUCUUGUCCCCUUUCCUAAUCAAAUAGUAACGAAUAGAAAACCCUUUCGAGGAAGUGAGAAGAGUAUCUUUCGCUAUUAUAGCUCGUUAAUAAUUCAGAUUUUUUGUUAAUUCUCCUUGGAUUGGUGCAAGGAUCAUUCUUUCUCUUUGUCCUUAAUGUUCUCUGUUUAUGGGACGUUGAAUUCCUGUUGAAGGCUAACAGGAUGUUGACCAGUCUAUUUGAUACUUUCAGCCGUUUAUCUUUUUGUGCGGGAAACAGCACGGUGAAUGUCUAAAAUAACUGCACUUUAUCUUGAUUUACGUUAAUAGUAGCCUUCAUGAACUGGUAGCUAAAGCUGAAGUGAACUCCUUGAAGGACUCGGACGCGUACGAAAGUUCCAACUAGGAGAAGAUGCUAAACACGGAGUAGCCUCGGAGUGAUGCAGCAGCCUGUGGUUUAAAUUGUUGCCAAGCCGGCAAGUGCUUUAAGAGGUAGGGCAAAUUCCUGAACCCUCUCCAUCUUUCUCAUACUCUUCCCAACUUUCCUAUUUCGGUAUAUUUAACGGUGAAAACGCGUGGUUCUACCGUACUGCAGGGGGCCUUCGUGAGAACCGAGAGUUUGUUUAUUCGGCACUACGAGGUUGCAGUGCUCCUUUAUUCCAUAGGAUUUAUUCGGGGGGGGGGCAGUCAGUACAGGAUCAGAGCACUAACUGGCUUCUUUAUACCUUUUUGUGUCCUUAGAGGGUAUAGAUAACCUCGUGCUAACCCUAAGAACAGACAGAGAGAGAAAUAGACUAACCGCUAUUCCGACCUGCGCCCAUUCCACUGCCCUGGCCGUCUUCCCCCUUUCUCUUCCCGCACGAUCCUUCGUGCAACCCCUUUUCCGCUCACCGUUUAGGGUUUAAAGAAGCCCUAGUUUGUAUUAUCACGAACCGCUGGAUCAAACAGGUCCGGUUCAGCCAAGCCAAGCCGCUCACACCUAUCCAGCCCGAAUCUGCUCGAGCCACAUCGUCCGAGUCUAACUGCCGCCGGUUCAUACCACAGUGGACCAUUUAGUCCGAAUCACCCUGUCAGCCCGACCCAUUUAGGCUGCCUACUCUGAAGCAAUCACCUCACCUGGUUCGAGUAAGGCUGCCUAGUCAACCAGGUUAACAGGUCAACAUCAAUAAUUGCUUAAGGUCAACACUUGGUCAACGGUGAACAUCAGGGUAACUAUUCACAGGUAGGUUCUAGCAACCUGAGUUUCUCCACCACACAGUCACCUAUUAUGAUGAUAAGGUUAUCUCUAAACAUUUUUCAUUUUCCAUAUUAGAGUAUUUUGUUCCCUUAGUAUUUUGUUGUGCAACAUUGUUGUUGUAUGAUUCAUAGAUUAAGUCAUUCAAUUUUAUGUUUGGUGGUUAAUGAGGAGUUAUAACCUACUUAAUUUGCGUCUAAUUGAUUUAUUGAUUUUACAGUAGCAUAAUCUUUGAUGAUUUCUUAAUUGUGACAAUACAUUUGUUUUAAAUCUUGUACGAUUUCACUUUAUCUUAUCCUAGGAGACCUUGUCAAGUUACUAGAGCCAUCAUUAGAGUCAAGUGUAGGUCGUGUCUAGGGUGACAUAGUCUUUUCAUCAUAGUAUCUUGCAUCAGUAGUUGGAGCUGUCAAGCCUGAUCUGGGUGCAGAUGGAAAGUUUGAUGUUGACCCCUUGAAUUGUUCCUGAGGGGAAAUAUCUGUGGAACGACAGGAUGCUUUGAGACACGAGGGCUAAGAUAUUAUCCACAUAUACCAUUGUGUCAGUGACAUGUAUGUCAUACUAUGAUGCUAUUCGCCAGAUAAAGCAUUGACUUUUCUGCACUACUAUGGAAUCACGAUUGAUUCAAGAGAUGCCAUUCAUAUAUAUAGGUAAAGUUGUAAUUUUUUGCUCCUUACAUCUUUAGUGGGCAUUAAUGAUGGGGAAGAAAUCUCUCAUGGUUGAGCAACAAAAAGCUAGAAAAAUCACUAGAAUGAAUCUUUAUCACGAGCUAUGUGCAGAUUUUCUACUAAUGGGCUGUUCAUAACUUUUUUUAAUCAAAGUUUUCCACUUAAGCUGUUGAUACCUUCAAUUCUCUUUUGAAAGUUCAAACCGUCAAGUGAAAUGACAUAUAAAUAUUAGUGUAACAAUAAAUCUCAAUUGUAUCUUUAUUUCUCCUCUAACAUGGCCAAUAGUAGUGGAAUAUCUUGGAAAUAUGCAAGAACGGUGCUUAGCGUUAAAUUUAGUUCUCUCACUAUUCUAUCCAAAACUAUAGUUAGGGAAAUAAUAAAUAACGAGAUUGACAUAAUGCACAUAUUUAUGUAACCAAAUGUGUUAUGGCAUAUUGAGUUGCAAUGCUGUAGAAGUUAACUAGCCUAUGAAAUAACAUGUGUUUGCCUACUCAUCUCAAAAUUGAUUUUAAAUAUACAUAGUUUUUUUUUAAUCGAUGAUCAAUAAGAUAAAUCAAAGCAUUCCCUACAAGAAAAGAACCAAAACCCAUGCUCGAAAUUGAUUGACAAGUCGUCAAAGAAACUCAAUUGUGACACCAUUUGGAUACUAUAUGACACAUGAACAGUUCAUAGAUAUUCUCAUCAAAAGAUUAAGUAGAUUACCCUUUUAGAAGCUCACAUCCAAGUUGAAAUUAGACAACAUCCGUUCACCAACUUGAUGAGGAACGUCACAGAAUCAGAACUGACAAUUAUACUGUAAUCAUUAUUAUUUUUGAAUAUGUCCUUUUUUCGUAAUAAUGUCACUUCUAUUCACGGGUGAAUCAGAUUUGGUUUCAGCACCGGCGAGGGUGAAGAAAUUCAACCUCGUUCGGUCAGGUCUUCUUCGCUAUAGACGCCACCAAGAACAAGAAAGAGGCUCUCCGCUCCUAGUCAAUAAGUAGUGCUUGUCCUCCGGGUUCCAAGUUUUAUCUCACGUCAUUUCGUUUCGCCUGCUCCAGCAAAGUCUCCUUUUCUAGAACUUGCAAAAUAUAUUCUUAAAAUUUGGGAUAGCAUAUUGAAAAUAAGAGUCUUUUGGACUUUGGGUUCCCCAUAAAUGAAGAGUUGCUUGGUUUUAAUGGGUCUUCUAAAAACUACUUGACACGCUAUCCAAUCCAAAAGUACAUACUUUUCUUUCAGAUAUUCAGGGGAGUACUCCUUAGGCCAAUCAUGUUUUAAUAAAAAAUCCAUGAUUCUUCCACCCAAAGUGGUUUUCAGUCUUUUAAAUACUCGAAAUCAUCUGUCUAUCUCUCUCUUUCUUUCUCUCUCACUUCCCCUCUCUUCCUCGCUCACCUCCUCUCUCUGUCUCCCCCCUUCUCUCUCCAUUCCUCUCCCUUCUCUCUCUCUCUCUCUCACUUCCUCUCUCUUUCUCUCUUUCUCACCCUCUAUCACUUCCUCUCUCUUUCUCACCCUCUAUCACUUCCUCUCUCUUUCUCUCUUUCUCACCCUCUAUCACUUCCUCUCUCUCUCUCAUAAGCGAGGGCAAACCUCAGGCAACCUUGAAACGGGGAGGCAUCGUAGAGAGGAGGGAGUGGGAGCGGCGUUUGUUUCGACGGCGUCUAUUUUGACGGCGCGGUGGAAGAGAGGGACGACAUUCGAUCUGAGUGCACGUUGGCCAGGCAUAGGCGCCAGAGCUCACACACCGUCCACGCGGGCGCCAGGGGCAGCUUGCGUCACCUGGACGUCAUCCUCCUAAAAAGGGUUACUUUUCUAAAUAUGCCAAAAUACGGAUAAGCAUGCGAAAAUCUGCUUUAUUAAUUUUUAUUGAUGAAAUUAUGAAUUUAAUGCAUUAUAUUCGAAUUUAGGUGACCCUAAUGAAAAUUACUUACUUAAUUAAUCAUAUCGAAAAUAAUUGGCCCAAAAAUAAAAUCAACGAUUUAAUAAACGUGGAGUCUUGAAUUAUUCGCAUGAAACACAUGAAAAUCUUUCUCCUCUUGGCUUCCGCCACGUGGAAAUCGCCGCCCCCUCUCUGGAACGUUCCGACGGUGGCGGGAAGCCGGUCGAGCGGGAAUGAUCGGCCCUCUGAAUCCCGGGCCAUUCCAGGCGUCCUUUGAGAAGCACGGGCACACCCCAAGUUCCAGGGGGUGCUUAGUUAAUGGGCCUUUAAGGCCCAAAAUCUACUAUUGGGCCCAUAUUUAAUGGGCUUUUAUUAUUGACCCUCAUCACUAAGAAUCACCUGGGGUUAUGUAUUUUAAUGGGCCUUAUUAUCUAGUGGGCCUUCAGACGAUACCCCACACGGGUCUGUGAGCCGAGUCCACAAGUACCAUAAAAAGGGGGUUUGAAUAUUUUUACGGUUUCUAGGGCGUAAAAAAAUAAUUCCAGGAGUUUUGGAAAAGUAAAUAAUUUUAGAGGGGCUGAUGAGUCAGCUGCCUCCUCGGGCCGCAGCCGCCGUUUCUAGGACCGACCGACGCCUAACCUGCACAGGUACCUACAUUGUGCAGUAUGAGCCGCACAUUCAACAUAGCGUUCGGACUCAUGUGCCUUCCAGAACCAGGGGCAGGCCUAGUCCCGCCCAAACAGAAAAAGGGCUAAGAAUCCCCAUUUUAAGCUUGAAGGGGGAAGGAUAACCCAUGCUUCUAGUUCGCGAGUCGAGCUCGCUCUCUGGCCAAAAAAAAAUUCGAUUAAAAUAGGAAGAGGACCUGGGAACGAGCCAUUCAGGCGGUUAGGGGUGUCCCCCAGUGACUUGUUGCUGUUAAAAGAGAAAAGCACUAAACUAGCCCGAGUGGUUGAAUGCCUAAUUAUUCAGUCAAUUGAGAACCGAAUGAGCAGUAUAUGAGUUUAUAACAGAACAGAGAAGCCAUCUCAUCUAAUCUAACACUCCGCCAGAGAAAGGUUUCCGUCCCAUAGAAGCUAAAAAUGGCCUUAUACGUCGAUUGACUUCGUCAAAUGGGGGACUCUAUUCCGUCGCUUGCAGGUAAGGUAACCCGAAAAAUAUAUGUAUCGAACUCUUAAUGAGUUUAAUUGAAAUAUUUUGACUUUUACCUUUCUCUCUCUUCCCUCACGAGCCAACGGUUCUCUCACCACCGGUAGCGCCCCCUCUGACAAGCAGCGACCUCAGUAGCAUUGACACUUCGCCAAUCCCGUGGCUACAGAUUUCCCACUCUCCUUUAACAGAAGAUGUGACGACCAUCAGCAAACUGCGGCAGAAAUCUAAUUUGCUGACAGAGCUCUAUUACGAGUUCUGCGGGAGAAAGUGUAGAGAAUAAGUAAACAGCUUGUGGCGCUGUUGGUUUUUAUAGUCCAGAUGAAAUGUCAUAAGCGCUAUGUUUACCUGUAGCCAGUCAGUGAUUUCUGCAAGGCCUGACCCAGAUACAGAAAUAAGUUCGAGUAAAUGAGCAAUUCACCGUCCCCCAGGUAGGUAACAACGUGACGAUUAUUCGGAAUGAACAGUGACAGCAGGCGGCAGCAGAUUACAAACCUCAUCAAUGUUAAGGCGUAGGAAAGCCUGCCACCACUCACCACUAUGAUGCUAUUCGCUAGAUAAAAGAGUUGAGUUUUCUGCACUACUGUGGAAUCACGAUUGGUUCAAGAGAUGCCAUCCGUAUAUACAGGUAAAGUUGUGAUCUUUUGCUCCUUACAUCUUCAGUGGGCAUUAAUGAUGGGGAAGAAAUCUCGCAUGGUUGAGCAACAAAAAGCUAGAAAAUUCAAUAGAAUGAAUCUUAAUCACAGGCUAUAUACAGAUUUUCUACUAAUGGCUUGGUCAUAACUUUUUUUCAUCACAGUUUUCCAAUUAAGCUGUAGAUACCUUCAAUUCUCUUUGGAAAGUUCAAACCGUCAAGUGAAAUGACAUGUAAAUACUAGUGUAACAAUAAAUCUUAAUUGUAUCUCUAUUUCUCCUCUAACAUGGCCUAUAGUAGUAGAAUAUCCUGAAAAUAUGCAAGAACGGAGCUUAGCGUUAAAUCUAGUUCUCUCAGAAUUCUAUCCAAAACCAAAUGUAGGGCAAUAAGAAAUAACGAGAUUGACAUAAUGCACUUAUUUAUGUAACCAACGGUGUUAUGGCAUCUUGAUCCAUAAUUUUUUUUAAUCAAUGAUCAAUAAAAUAAAUCAAAGCAUUCCCUACAAGAAAACUUAUGCUCCAAAAUGAACCAAAACCCAUGUUCGAAAUUGAUUGACAAGUCAUCAAAGAAAAACUCAAUUGUUACACCAUUUGCAUACUAUAUAACACAUGAAUAAUUCAUAGAUAUUCUCAUCAAAAGAUUAAGUAGAUUACCCUUUUACAAGCUCACAUCCAAGUUGAAAUUAGACAACAUCCGUUCACCAGCUUGAUGAGGAACGUCAUAGAAUCAGAACUGACAAUUAUACUAUAAUCAUAAUUGUUUUUUGUAUAUGUCCAUUUUUUGUAGUAAUGUCACUUCUAUUCACCGGUGAAUUAGAUCUGACUUCAGCCCAAGAAAAUUAAUUGGAUCCAACCUACUAGGUUUAGGUUUGGACUGAUAUAAAUAUAUGACUAACGGUAGCGCUCCCUCUGACAAGCAGCGACCUCAGCAGCAUUGACACUUAGACAAUCCCGUGGCUACAGAUUUCCCGCUCUGCUUUAUUAGAAGAUGUGACGACCAUCAGCAAACUGCGGCCGAAAUCUAAUCUGCUGAGUGAGCUCUAUUACGAGUUCUGCGGGAGAAAGUGUAGAGAAUAAGUAAACAGCUUGUUGUGCUGUUGGAGUAGUCCAGAUGAAAUGUCAUAAGCGCUAUGUUUACCUGUAGCCAGUCAGUGAUGUCUGCAAGGCCUGACCCAGACGCAGAGAUAAGUUCGAAUAAAUGAGCAGUUCACCAUCCCACAGGUAGGCAAGGUUGGAGAACGUGACGAUUAUUUCGAAUGAACAGUGACAGGAGGCGGCAGCAGAUUACAAACCUCAUCAAUGUUAAGGCGUAGGAAAGCCUGCCACCACUCAUCACCAAGUUUGUAAAUUUUCAAUGAAGUUGGUCGCGAAAGUCAUAAAUUCUCUAUCGCUUUUAAUAUCCUUGUAUGAGUUGGUUUUGCAUCAGGUACAACCUGGGUUAACAACAUCUUUUGCAGUAUGGUUGAAAUUCUUUUUGGGUUAGCCAACAUCAAGUAUCGAGACAUGAUUUGCAUAUCAUCUGUACUGCUAACCAUGACUAAUCUUUUUAGGCAGCUGGAUUUAAUCUAGUGGAAUGAGCGGUCUCUGAAAGACAGAAACGGUCCAUUUGCCGACCAAUUCUGACAUAUGAAAACAGCCCAAUAAUGGGCAGAUUUGAAUCCCCAGGUGGAAGUGGAAACGGUCUUAACGAGUGGGUUGACUAUUUCUUACGGAAACGGUCCAUAAUUACAAGAACGAAGGGCAUGUUCGAAAAUAAAGAAUGAUUCAUUGAGGGAUUCGCGGCACUAAGAGGCCUCCUUACCCCUUAUUUUGUGUCCCAUUUAAAAAGUUUCUAGUAAGGUUAUAAGGUAAAGAUCUAAGGUUAGCUUUGGUGGGAGCCUUGAAGGCUAAUACUAAGAAUUUGUUCUAUCGGUUUUUGGUGAGAAAUCUCUUAUAAAUGUUUCACAUCUGAUGAAGCUUUCAUUUUCAGUGACCUUGGAAGGGCGCCGAUCACCAAACCACAUCAAAUUUCCUAGUGUUGGUGCUUUUGUUGUUUGUUGAUUAUUCUUCCUCUUUCCUAAUUCGUGUUCUUCAGUACAUUUUGCAAGUCUAAGUUGCCGUUUAGUCUAGUAACUUUCUAACCGUACACAGUGCCCUAUAAAGACAGUGAAAAUAGACUACAUUCAUUUAUGUCAAUUCUGAGUGACAAAAUGGAUAAAAGUUAAAACCAAAAAAUGAAUCUAUUUGUUGGCAAAGAGCCUGAAUGAGACUUUAUACCUUUUCAAACUAUACGUUUGAGCUUCCAUACAUAACAUAUUUGUGUUAGGGAAUGUACAGUCCUGAGGCCUUUAAAACUAAAGCUUUUGCUCUUCAUUAGUCCAAUUGUCUACUAUCCGUAUAAAAUAUAGAGCCUUGUUAAGCUCCUAUUUGACAAUGUUAGCCUUUACCCUCUUAUACAAUAAGCUAAAACUAAUCCAGCCAUUAAAUUUUGCUUACUCAGUAAUGAUUUUCUCAGGUUUGUUACAAUUUUGAAUUGACAUCCUAGAGAAAUCCAAAUGGGAUCACCUUUUAACCUUCUCGAAUGGCUCAUAUUGCAUAUUAAUAUAAAACAGCUUUGGCUCUCAUAAUUGUCUAAUGAGCCACAUCUUGAAGAUAUUUUGAAAGACACCCAAUUAGGUGAAAAUUCAUAAAAUUUUCAACCCUAUUGGGCUAGUAAAACAUGCCUUAGGCAGGACUAACCUAAGAAAUUUAUGAAAUGAACUGUGGUAUGUAAGUAUCAAAACGAACCUUAUUAAAUUGAUGCGGGCUAGAGUACAAAUGGUAGAACCCUAAAGAUUUGUCAGAGUUUUUCAAAAGAAGAGAACAUCAUUGUAGUCAAAAAUCUCUUGCAAUAAUAAAACUAAAGGAUCAAGCGGUUUAAGAAAUCUGCUGAUUAGGGUACCUAGAUUUAAUAGAUCAAAUAAAGUUUAAUCAGGGGGAAUGAUCAGCCAAAUAUAAAAAGGUAGCUAUCCUAUUGUUCCCUCAAGCAACCAUGACAAGAGAAUAUACUUAAAAAACAAAUGACUAGGUAGCUGAUAGGAAAAGUUCAGAAAUUAUACUUGAGCUUUGGCAGGAUUCCUAAAUUCCUAAAGUUGAUCAUUGACUUUUUUGACCAUUGACCAUUGACCAUUGACCAUGUAAACCAGGCCAUCAGCUGCAGCAGUUCAUAGUUGAAGGGGCUGACUAGUUUUGGUCGGGAUGGCCAGAUGACUCACACCAAACUAUUUUGGCCACGACCAGUUCGACAAGGAUAGUGGCAGUGGGCCGGCUGAAGUGGACUAGGGAACAUGAGGCCAAGGAAUGAAAUAACCUUAGCUUUAGAUGUGGCGAUAUCUAGAGGGAAAUGGGAGAGGUGGCGACAGAGAGAGGUGAGAGUGGAGGCCGGUAGCAAGUAGUGGUGUGAUGACCGUGAGGUGGUGGUCAACAGUGGCGAUGGCAGUGGUAGCAGUGAUAUAAUGAGGCCGACAGUGGUGGGCAACGAAGUGGGGACGAUGGCUAAUGGUGAUGGCUGCUGGAGGGGGUUGCCGGUGGUAGAGAGGGUGAUGGACAAGCAGCAACAGCAAAAGGGAAGGUGAUGACGAUGACAAUAGCAGGUGAUGGUGGUACUGUUGGUGUAGGUAGUGGUGCCUGGCGGUGAUAGAAGAGAAAGAAAGGAGGGGGAAGGGUGCUCCAAACUGGGAGCAGCAGGGUUCCCUGACCAAACCAAGCGAGGGCGACAAGAUCUCAUGAUUAGGUAAGGAAUAAAUUCUUCAUCUCAUUCACUGCCAAGCUAAAGGUUUGAAGGCUGAUUAAUAGGCCUCUCUAUGCAAAAUAAUAGUAAGUUAAUAAUGAAGGAAACCUUCUAUUGUAAGACGUUUUGUUUUGCAGCAUGGGUGACCAAUAGCUAGAUCAAGGGCAAUGUCCCCACCUUCUACAAUAGUUCUUCCCUCAAUUUAAUUGGAUCCUUUCUUAUUUGAAGGGCUGUUGAGGUGUGCUUCAUGGAGGGUACUAUUCUCACCUUCUUUGUCUAUCAUUUCCUUACUUUUAUUCGAAUCACCUUCCUUAGUUGAUGAACUCUUAAAGUAUGCUGCAUCAUGAACAGUAUCACUUCAUGGGCCACUUCCUAUCAAGACAUCUAAAUCAUGACAACCUUAAAAGCUUUUUUAAUAGUCCCCAUCUCAGUUUGCUAUAAAAUGUGCUUUUUUAUGAAUGAAAAUGGAUUUUCCCUGUAGCAUUUUUAUAGAGAUUUCAUAACCUUGUCUUCCAAAUAGCCAUGUUCUCAUAAAGCGUCAAAGAUGGCCUUGAAAAAGCCAGUUCGUAAGUUAAUCUAAAUAAUAGAACAUGGACUUAUACCAACGUUUUAGGACAGAUCCUUUUCCUUCAGUUGGGGUGGUUGAUAAUGCACUGGACUGGAACUCAUUUCUGUGGAGAAGGACAAUUUUUACCCACCGGCUUCUCCUAGAAUGUUUCCUAUUUGUAGCUGCGUAGGAUGUUAACAAGGGACAUUGCUAUUGAUCUGCCUUUCGGUAUCAGUGCAUACUUUCUUGUGCCACUUAUCAUUUAGUGUAUCUUGGUAAUAAUGGAUUCUCAGAUUCUCUUCUCUAUGUUAGAUUUCAUGUUGGGAGAUUGGCUGCUGAGAUGCUUCUUCCGGCAGACGGUAUGUCAUGUCCAUAUCUUGUUCAUUUCUUUAACAGAAAAAUGGUUAAAAUAGUACAUUUAAAUCACAAGGAAGAAUUUAUAACAGAAAAAAUUUUAUUUUCUUCAAUGGUUUCAUAGGCGAUUUAAAAAUUACUAAUUCACAAUAAUAGCAUCAAUCUUGAUUGUUGUAAUCUUUGUUCUUCAAACAAUUCAACAAUUAAGUUAUGAUUUAUGUCGAAAUAAUUUCGCAUCGCGGCAGCUGCCAUGACAAAGAGGAAAACGGCAACCGCCGCAGUGACUUGGAUCCGACAGCUACUGCGGAUAGUAAGAUGAAGACUGUUGGAGGUCUUGAGGUUUACGGUACUGAACGAUAAGGGAAAGCAAACGAAGCUCUGGUUGAGCAUUGAGGAGGCCCUUGACUUCGUCUCCAUAGAACUAAUUGGAGUAGGACGGAGCGAAACCGGGAAUUCAGAUGAACUGUGACACGACUGAUAGGAACCUUGACAACAUGGCACACAUUGGUUGGCUUUCUGUCGACGUUGAUUAACUAAAAAGGUG
rnacentral:lncRNA from 1 species